rnacentral:lncRNA from 1 species
GUUGGCACAAGUAAAGUUAAGGAAACAAAGAUAAAUAUGCUAGUUAAAGAAUUUGAAAAUUUCUUUAUGAAACAAAAUGAGCCUAUUGUUGAUAUGAUUACUCGUUUUACCGAUAUUGUAAAUGGUCUUAAAGGUUUUGAUCGUAAAUUUACGAACGGUGAACUUGUGAGUAAAAUGCUUAGAUCCUUAUCGGAGGAAUGAAGUCCGUUGAAGAUGUUGAUCAAGAAUACUAAGGAUGUAAAUACAUAUCCUUUGGAAGAGCUCUAUGGUACAUUAAUGAUCUAUGAGCUAAACAAUACCGAGGUUAAAGAGAAAACGGGAAAAGCAAGGAGGAAUCAAAUGAGCCUCCUAAACGACAAAUUGCAUUAAAAUCGGUAAUUGAAGAAGGAACAUCAAAUGAAAAUAUGAGCAAUAAAGAACUUGAUGAUUUGGUCCUUCAUGUCAAAAAAUGGAGAGAUUUUCGUAAUAAUUGAAGAUUCCGAAAGAAAGAAGAAAAAGGGGAAGAUAGGAACAAAAAGAUUGUUUGUUAUGAUUGUGACAAGCCGGGUCACAAGAGAACCGAGUGUCCAAACAAAAAGAAAAAUUUCAAGAAAAAGACACUCCAAGCCACAUGGGAUGAUAGCGACGACGAGGAACAAAAUGGGAAUGAUAGUCAAGAUGAACUGGCAAAUAUAUGCUUCAUGGCAAUCGAAGAGGUAUGUUCUUAUGAUGAGCUUUCAAUUUCUUAUGAUGAAAUGCUUGAAAAUUUUGAAAAACUUGCUUUAAAUAACACUAUUUUUAAAAAGAAAAACUCUAUUUUGAAAGAAGAAAUUAAGAAAAUUUUCGAAAAGCAAAAAUAGAGUAUUGAUCAUGACCUUUUAAUAAAAGAAAAUAUUUCUUUGAAAGAAAAGGUUAAUGAUUUAACACAAAUUAUCCAUAAGUUUACUGAAGGGAAGAAAAAUUUUGAUUUAAUGCUCGGUAGUCAAAAGUGUGUUUUUGAUAAAGGAGGAAUUGGAUACAAACCCUCUCUAAAACAAAAAUCACUCAAAAAUAUCUUUAUUAAGGCUUCAAAUAUUUCAUGUAGCUUUUGUAAUAAAAGUGGACAUAUUGCUUUUAAUUGUGUAACUAAAAAGAAAUUAUUUUUUGAAAACAAAUACAAGUGGAUACAAGAAUCCACAAAAACCAAGUAUCAAGGACCCAAAUUUGUGUGAUACUAAAAGUCAAAACUUAAUUUAUCUUUGUAGUUACCAAAGAAAAAAAAAAGUAAAUGGUUCUUGUACAGUGGAUGCUCGAAGCAUAUGACCGGAGACCAAUCAUUAUUAUCAAACUUUCAAGAGAAGGAUGAAAGUCAUGUGACCUUUGGAGAUAAUGCCAAAGG